UUGAACUCCUGACCUCUGGGGAUUCACCUGCCUCAGCCUCCCAAAGUGCUGGGAUUAUCGGUGAGAGCCACCGCACCUAGCUUUAACUUCAGCCUCUAAAUUGACUAACAGCUUAAUGCAAUGAGAUGGGGUGGAGAUUGGGGGCUAUGGGCAACUGGACUUUGGCCAUAUUGGAGAACAUGGCUGUCAAAGAGAUAUGCAUAUCUCACCCUUCCUGUAUGCUAUGGUCUGAAUUAUGUGUUCCUCCCAAAUUCACAUGUUGAAACCUAAUUACCAAGGUGAUAGUAUAAAAGAUGGGGCCUUUAGGAGGUGAUUAAUCAUGAGAGGUAUGCCCUCAUGAAUGGGAUUAGUACCCUUUUAAAGGGCUUGAGGGAGGGAAUUUGGCCUCUUUUUUGCCCUCUUGCCCUUCUGCCUACUGCCUUUGAAGACACAACGAUAGGCACCAUCUUGGAAGCAGAGAGCAGCCCUCACUGGACACUGAAUCUGCUGAUGCCUCAAUGUUGGACUUGCCAGCCUCCAGAACUCAGCUCUGCCCCACUAAGCUCUCUACACGGCCGAGACACCAGACCAGAAUGCGCCCUUUCAACAGGCAGAGAGAGCCAAAGGGGAAAAGAGCUGAGUCAAGGCCGCCAAGUUCCUGCUUCCAGCCCUACCAGCCGGUCACUCACGCCUAGCAAUGAGGAAGCCGGGAGUCCUGUCUAGAGCCUUUCCCAUAGUUGUGGGAAAGAAGAUGGAUAAAGUUAUUGUUAAUCUACGAUGAAGGAAUGAUGCCAAGUUUUUCAAGGCUUCCAGAGUCACGGGAGGAGUCACUUGGCAGAUCCAGUAGCAGAAGCCAGGUUAAGUGACCAGCCUAAGGCAAGAGCCAGAUUUGGAGCUUGGAAUAUGAUAGUCCUUAGGGUGCUUUAUUCCCUGAGACAAUCCACACUUCUACCUCAGUAAAGGAAUCAAUUGAGGGCUCAGCUUUUCCUCUGCAAGAAACCUGCUCUCUGGGACAAUGAUAAUGUAAGCACAAAGAACAAAACUAUUUAAAGAUCAUACACAUACCCUCUCAAACACAUCAUCUGCCUGUGGGAAAGCAACGUGUUCACUGUGAUAAUUCAGCACCAGGACCUGAGGUGGUGGGAACAGCUUUGCCUGGUUUGCUGCUCUCCAAGGAGCUCCUGUGCCGGCCUCAUUGGACAAGCAUCCCUGCCCUGCGGCGCAGAGUCUCCAGGACCAGCAGAUGGCGCACUUGCACAGUCCACACAUUUUCCAGGUUCUCAAGGUAAAUGGUACUGAUUAACAUCCAGAAAUAACACCCACUGAUGUUUGAACAAAUUGCAGCGUUUUCCAGGCCACUAAAACCAUGGCACUUUGUGAGCUGGAACAUUUGCUAAUAUUUAAAAUGGUUAGAAAGAUUGUUAAUCUAUAAUACUUUCGAGUGUUAACAGCCUCUUUCACCCACGCAUCAAAAAGCCCUUAAUAAAUUGGCCUUCUUUUUUCAGGUAGGGAAAUUAGGGCAGAGGGUCAAUUGGCUAAGAUCACAGCAGAACUAGUCCAAAUAAUUCAGACCGUACGCCUUGGUGAUCUUUUAGAAUUGUCUUUCCUCUUGCCCUUCCUUUCUUUAAUGCCCACUUCUCUUGGUUGUGGAGAGGAAUGUGCGUGUUGACUGGGGAUGUGGAAAAGGAAUUGACAUCUUCUGCACUUUGGGGCAUUGCCACCUGCCAUGGUCAUC